AGGAUCCAAAAGUCCGAAGGUGAA
rnacentral:siRNA from 1 species